rfam:Salmo salar isolate Sally breed double haploid chromosome ssa28, whole genome shotgun sequence.
UGCCUUCACUACAGUAAGUCGCUCUGGAUAAGAGUGUCUGCUAAAUGACUAAAA